rnacentral:rRNA from 1 species
GAUGAACGCUAGCUACAGGCUUAACACAUGCAAGUCGAGGGGCAGCAUGGUCUUAGCUUGCUAAGGCCGAUGGCGACCGGCGCACGGGUGAGUAACACGUAUCCAACCUGCCGUCUACUCUUGGACAGCCUUCUGAAAGGAAGAUUAAUACAAGAUGGCAUCAUGAGUCCACAUGUUCACAUGAUUAAAGGUAUUCCGGUAGACGAUGGGGAUGCGUUCCAUUAGAUAGUAGGCGGGGUAACGGCCCACCUAAUCUUCGAUGGAUAGGGGUUCUGAGAGGAAGGUCCCCCACAUUGGAACUGAGACACGGUCCACACUCCUACGGGAGGCAGCAGUGAGGAAUAUUGGUCAAUGGGCGAGAGCCUGAACCAGCCAAGUAGCGUGAAGGAUGACUGCCCUAUGGGUUGUAAACUUCUUUUAUAAAGGAAUAAAGUCGGGUAUGGAUACCCGUUUGCAUGUACUUUAUGAAUAAGGAUCGGCUAACUCCGUGCCAGCAGCCGCGGUAAUACGGAGGAUCCGAGCGUUAUCCGGAUUUAUUGGGUUUAAAGGGAGCGUAGAUGGAUGUUUAAGUCAGUUGUGAAAGUUUGCGGCUCAACCGUAAAAUUGCAGUUGAUACUGGAUAUCUUGAGUGCAGUUGAGGCAGGCGGAAUUCGUGGUGUAGCGGUGAAAUGCUUAGAUAUCACGAAGAACUCCGAUUGCGAAGGCAGCCUGCUAAGCUGCAACUGACAUUGAGGCUCGAAAGUGUGGGUAUCAAACAGGAUUAGAUACCCUGGUAGUCCACACGGUAAACGAUGAAUACUCGCUGUUUGCGAUAUACAGCAAGCGGCCAAGCGAAAGCGUUAAGUAUUCCACCUGGGGAGUACGCCGGCAACGGUGAAACUCAAAGGAAUUGACGGGGGCCCGCACAAGCGGAGGAACAUGUGGUUUAAUUCGAUGAUACGCGAGGAACCUUACCCGGGCUUAAAUUGCAGAUGAAUUACGGUGAAAGCCGUAAGCCGCAAGGCAUCUGUGAAGGUGCUGCAUGGUUGUCGUCAGCUCGUGCCGUGAGGUGUCGGCUUAAGUGCCAUAACGAGCGCAACCCUUGUUGUCAGUUACUAACAGGUUCCGCUGAGGACUCUGACAAGACUGCCAUCGUAAGAUGUGAGGAAGGUGGGGAUGACGUCAAAUCAGCACGGCCCUUACGUCCGGGGCUACACACGUGUUACAAUGGGGGGUACAGAGGGCCGCUACCACGCGAGUGGAUGCCAAUCCCAAAAACCUCUCUCAGUUCGGACUGGAGUCUGCAACCCGACUCCACGAAGCUGGAUUCGCUAGUAAUCGCGCAUCAGCCACGGCGCGGUGAAUACGUUCCCGGGCCU